rnacentral:rRNA from 1 species
GGAAGGUGGGGAUGACGUCAAGUCCUCAUGGCCCUUAUGGGUAGGGCUUCACACGUCAUACAAUGGUCGGUACAGAGGGUUGCCAAGCCGCGAGGUGGAGCCAAUCCCAGAAAGCCGAUCGUAGUCCGGAUCGCAGUCUGCAACUCGACUGCGUGAAGUCGGAAUCGCUAGUAAUCGCGGAUCAGCAUGUCGCGGUGAAUACGUUCCCGGGUCUUGUACACACCGCCCGUCACACCAUGGGAGUGGGUUCUACCAGAAGUAGUUAGCCUAACCGUAAGGAGGGCGAUUACCACGGUAGGAUUCAUGACCGGGGUGAAGUCGUAACAAGG